rnacentral:rRNA from 1 species
AGCUUGUACAGGUGCUGCAUGGCUGUCGUCAGCUCGUGUCGUGAGAUGUUCGGUUAAGUCCGCUAACGAGCGCAACCCUUCGCUGUGUGUUACAAGUGUCACACGGAACUGCCGGUCAUAACCGGAGGAAGGUGGGAUGACGUCAAGUCAGCAUGGCCUUUAUAUCCUGGGCUACACACACGCUACAAUGGGAAGGGACAAUAGGUUGCGAAGCCGCGAGGCGGAGCCAAUCCAGCAAAACUUCCCUCAGUUCAGAUUGCAGGCUGCAACUCGCCUGCAUGAAGUUGGAGUUGCUAGUAAACGCAGGUCAGCCAUACUGCGUUCGAAUACGUUCCCGGGGCUU